rnacentral:rRNA from 1 species
AUGCAUAAGCUCGUAAAUGUUCAUUAUUUGGACAAGUCGACAUUUAUGCUUGAAAAUGACGAUGAAGGGGAAGAGGCUAUGGUUUUUGACACAAGUCCAAGCUUUGAUGAUCUUGUAGUUCAAGUGAGAAGCGUCUUACAUUGGAAUGACCCAAAUGCCAAGGUUAAGCUUAUUGGGAGGUAUGACGUUGGAUUGGGAGUAAAGUCCCGAUUAAAGAGUAUGCCCAUCACCUCCCAAUUGCAUUGGAAUGUGUACAAGGAAAAAGUAGACGCAUCACAAGACAAGUCUCUUGAGAUCUUUGCCACAAAGGUUGAUCCUCCUCCUCCUUUGCAAAUUGAUCUCAACCGCAAUGCAUCCUCCCCCAUGCAUGAUGACAGUGCCGAGGUGUAUGUCCCCAAUUCUUCUAGCCAACCACCAAGUAGCCAACCC